rnacentral:lncRNA from 1 species
AAAACAACUCCCUGGCCAUUCAGUCCACAUUUGAAGGGCACAUAUCAAAUCUUUGUCCUGAGAUCUUAAAAUAAAUGCAACAGUUUUAUGGUUCACAUGGAGACAUUGUGGAGUCUUGUGAACAUGUGGCCCCAGUCUCCUAUGCAGCAUCAGAACUGUUCCAAGUUCUGAGCUCUUGGACAAGUCCUCACCCAGAAGAGUGGCCUGUUUGUUUUGUAAGAACAGGAUGAUCAUCCCCAGAAAUGCAGAACAGCCCAGGGCUUCGGAGACAGCAGAGCCUUCGGAUCAAGACACACCUGAGACGGAGACUGCUCGGCCUCAUGCCAUCUGGGUAGCUUUGGGCAAAUUGCUCAAACUGUCUGAGCUCAGCUUCCUUAUCUGGAAAAGAAGGAUGACGAUGCCAAGGUCAUAGAGUUGUCAGUGUCUUAGUCUACUUUGUUUUGCUGCAACAAAAUCCCCGAGGCUGAGCCACUGUAUAAAAAACUGUUUGGCUCGAGGUUCUGGAGAUGUGAGAGUGUGGCUCUGGCAGCAGCUCCGGUCUGGUGAGGGUGAUACGGUGGAUGGUAUCAAGAGGAUGUGAAGCCUGCAUCAGUCCCUUCUGAGGGUGGGGCCUCUGUGAUGUAAUCACCUUCCGCUGGGUGUCACCUCUGACAGGUUCCAAAACCACAUCCACACUGCAGCAAAUAAGGUAACAAAUGUAAAUGCAAAGGGCCUCUUCUACCAUAAGCAUUAGAUUGUCUAUUCCACAAGGUAGAAAGGACAUGAAAAUGAGCCCUCCUGUCAAUGUCAGCUUGGCCCCCAUCUAUUGCAAACCCAGCAGUGGACACCAUGAGAGCUUUUGGGAAAGCCACCAACUGGCAGCAAUUGGGCUACUUCGAAACAGAACCAUGGAACCGCACCAUGCCUGCGCUUGCGUGCUAAAGGUCUGCUUAGCAAGCCAGCCAGAGCCAAGAAGCUAUGUGGAAACAAAUUCCCAAAAAACACAGGUUCCCAUGGAAAAGAAUGGAAAAAGGUCAGGGGAUUUGAGCUCACUUGGCUGCUGUUCCAGCCCUGGGCUGUGCCCGGCGUGGUCUUCCUGCACAGUGACUUCUUUUGACCUGGUUCUGAGACCUUGGCAGCCUGCUUUGUUGUGCUUAAGUUCGACCUUCCCUGACCCCUGUGUCAUUUUCGAUGUCACCAUGGAAAUUUCCAGACCUCCCUGGAGCUGGUUUCUGGCCAUGAGCAUCCACCCCAGAUGCAUGCAUACUCUCUUCCAGCUCUGUGGGAUCCAUCUCGCAGCCUCCUGUGAACGUGCACUGCAACUGGAGAUGGAUGUUCAGUUGCAUCCUCCUUGA